UGUUUUUUAUAUGAACUAUGAUGUGUGCGAUGUGUAUUAUGUAUUGUGUUUUUUGUGUGUGUAUUGUCUGUAUGUCUAUUACCUUUUGCUGCAAAAUUAGUUUCCCCGAAGGGGGCAAUAAAAGUAAACAAACAAACAAAACAAACAAACACUGUCUGUAAUGAGUUUGAUUUAAAGCUCCAUUCAUGCCUGACAUGUGUCCUUCGUUUCAGACUCCAGCCAGUAUUUGAGACAAAAAUCUAAAAACAAAUGUGAACUUCCUGUCACAUGUGGGGAUAAAAAAGGUAUCUUUUAUGUGGAGAAAUAUAAUAAAGAGCAGAAGUGGAUUUUAAGCGAAGGCCAGUGGUUCAAGCCCAGUGAGUUUGAAAGGUUUGAAGGAAAGGAACAAAAAGUGGAAGACCAGCAUCCAUUACAAUGGGAUUCCACUCCAGAAACUCACACAGAGCUGGCAACAGCUACUCCCUUACACCUCUGAAUCAAGUGGCAGUGAUGAUGAUGUUGAAGAGGAGGAUGAUGAUGAUGUUGAAGAGGAGGAGGAUGAUGAUGAUGAAGAGGA